rnacentral:rRNA from 1 species
CCCCGGUAAACGGCGGCCGUAACUAUAACGGUCCUAAGGUAGCGAAAUUCCUUGUCGGGUAAGUUCCGACCUGCACGAAUGGCGUAAUGAUGGCCAGGCUGUCUCCACCCGAGACUCAGUGAAAUUGAACUCGCUGUGAAGAUGCAGUGUACCCGCGGCAAGACGGAAAGACCCCGUGAACCUUUACUAUAGCUUGACACUGAACAUUGAGCCUUGAUGUGUAGGAUAGGUGGGAGGCUUUGAAGUGUGGACGCCAGUCUGCAUGGAGCCGACCUUGAAAUACCACCCUUUAAUGUUUGAUGUUCUAACGUGGACCCGUAAUCCGGGUUGCGGACAGUGUCUGGUGGGUAGUUUGACUGGGGCGGUCUCCUCCUAAAGAGUAACGGAGGAGCACGAAGGUUGGCUAAUCCUGGUCGGACAUCAGGAGGUUAGUGCAAUGGCAUAAGCCAGCUUGACUGCGAGCGUGACGGCGCGAGCAGGUGCGAAAGCAGGUCAUAGUGAUCCGGUGGUUCUGAAUGGAAGGGCCAUCGCUCAACGGAUAAAAGGUACUCCGGGGAUAACAGGCUGAUACCGCCCAAGAGUUCAUAUCGACGGCGGUGUUUGGCACCUCGAUGUCGGCUCAUCACAUCCUGGGGCUGAAGUAGGUCCCAAGGGUAUGGCUGUUCGCCAUUUAAAGUGGUACGCGAGCUGGGUUUAGAACGUCGUG